UGCCACCUUCUACGCCUAUAGCGUCUAC
rnacentral:sRNA from 1 species